GCGCCGGUGGUGUAAGGCGAACAUCGCUGCCCGGAGAUGCGGGUUCGAGUCCCGCCUGGCGCA
rnacentral:tRNA from 1 species